rnacentral:rRNA from 1 species
GAGUAAUGUCUGGGAAACUGCCUGAUGGAGGGGGAUAACUACUGGAAACGGUGGCUAAUACCGCAUAACGUCGCAAGACCAAAGAGGGGGACCUUCGGGCCUCUUGCCAUCAGAUGUGCCCAGAUGGGAUUAGCUUGUUGGUGAGGUAACGGCUCACCAAGGCGACGAUCCCUAGCUGGUCUGAGAGGAUGACCAGCCACACUGGAACUGAGACACGGUCCAGACUCCUACGGGAGGCAGCAGUGGGGAAUAUUGCACAAUGGGCGCAAGCCUGAUGCAGCCAUGCCGCGUGUAUGAAGAAGGCCUUCGGGUUGUAAAGUACUUUCAGCGGGGAGGAAGGUGUUGUGGUUAAUAACCGCAGCAAUUGACGUUACCCGCAGAAGAAGCACCGGCUAACUCCGUGCCAGCAGCCGCGGUAAUACGGAGGGUGCAAGCGUUAAUCGGAAUUACUGGGCGUAAAGCGCACGCAGGCGGUCUGUCAAGUCGGAUGUGAAAUCCCCGGGCUCAACCUGGGAACUGCAUUCGAAACUGGCAGGCUUGAGUCUUGUAGAGGGGGGUAGAAUUCCAGGUGUAGCGGUGAAAUGCGUAGAGAUCUGGAGGAAUACCGGUGGCGAAGGCGGCCCCCUGGACAAAGACUGACGCUCAGGUGCGAAAGCGUGGGGAGCAAACAGGAUUAGAUACCCUGGUAGUCCACGCCGUAAACGAUGUCUACUUGGAGGUUGUGCCCUUGAGGCGUGGCUUCCGGAGCUAACGCGUUAAGUAGACCGCCUGGGGAGUACGGCCGCAAGGUUAAAACUCAAAUGAAUUGACGGGGGCCCGCACAAGCGGUGGAGCAUGUGGUUUAAUUCGAUGCAACGCGAAGAACCUUACCUGGUCUUGACAUCCACAGAAGAAUCCAGAGAUGGAUUUGUGCCUUCGGGAACUGUGAGACAGGUGCUGCAUGGCUGUCGUCAGCUCGUGUUGUGAAAUGUUGGGUUAAGUCCCGCAACGAGCGCAACCCUUAUCCUUUGUUGCCAGCGGUUAGGCCGGGAACUCAAAGGAGACUGCCAGUGAUAAACU